rnacentral:misc_RNA from 1 species
CAACCCUCAAGCACUGCUUGGCGUUGGGGCGCCGCGGAGACGCGGGCCCCCAAAUACAGUGGCGGACGCUCCCGGAGCCUCCUUUUGCGUAGUAACCAAACCUCGCACUGGGACCCGGGGCGCACCGGCCGUAAAACCCCCAACUAUACCAAA